CGACCAAAGUCGGGAAAAAUGAAGAAAUUACGCUUACGUCCUAUUGUUCGAUUUGAUCGCUAGUACUUUUGUUUCAACAUUAAACAACCAAAAGGUUGUUCUAAUAACUAAAUUAAAGUGUAUUUUGAGUUCAAUUGACUUUUUGUGAACGAAUUACGACGAUUCGUGUUUUCGGCCUGAUUUUUAGCUGCACAAAAAACUGUUUCCGAUCAGAUUUUUUUCGAUGUCAUAAUAAUCGUAUCGAAAUUCUGGUUCGUUUCAUAUAAUUGUUUUUAGAUAUCUUGAUUUCGGAGCACUCCCUCCAAUCCAUUCGGUUACUCAUAAUUGUACCGAAAAUCAAGUUAAACCCCUAAUCUUUUGAAUAUUUAAAUUACACUUCCAAAUAAAACUACACUUAAAAGCAUAUGAAAUUAUCUUCAUUCCACCAUUGAAAAUUGACAAAAAAAAAAAAGAAAUUUCUUUUUUCGACCAAAGUCGGGAAAAAUGAAGAAAUUACGCUUACGUCCUAUUGUUCGAUUUGAUCGCUUGUACUUUUGUUUCAACAUUAAACAACCAAAAGGUUGUUCUAAUAACUAAAUUAAAGUGUAUUUUGAGUUCAAUUGACUUUUUGUGAACGAAUUACGACGAUUCGUGUUUUCGGCCUGAUUUUUAGCUGCACAAAAAACUGUUUCCGAUCAGAUUUUUUUCGAUGUCAUAAUAAUCGUAUCGAAAUUCUGGUUCGUUUCAUAUAAUUGUUUUUAGAUAUCUUGAUUUCGGAGCACUCCCUCCAAUCCAUUCGGUUACUCAUAAUUGUACCGAAAAUCAAGUUAAACCCCUAAUCUUUUGAAUAUUUCAAUUACACUUCCAAAUAAAACUACACUUAAAAGCAUAUGAAAUUAUCUUCAUUCCACCAUUGAAAAUUGACAAAAAAAAAAAAAGAAAUUUCUUUUUUCGACCAAAGUCGGGAAAAAUGAAGAAAUUACGCUUACGUCCUAUUGUUCGAUUUGAUCGCUUGUACUUUUGUUUCAACAUUAAACAACCAAAAGGUUGUUCUAAUAACUAAAUUAAAGUGUAUUUUGAGUUCAAUUGACUUUUUGUGAACGAAUUACGACGAUUCGUGUUUUCGGCCUGAUUUUUAGCUGCACAAAAAACUGUUUCCGAUCAGAUUUUUUUCGAUGUCAUAAUAAUCGUAUCGAAAUUCUGGUUCGUUUCAUAUAAUUGUUUUUAGAUAUCUUGAUUUCGGAGCACUCCCUCCAAUCCAUUCGGUUACUCAUAAUUGUACCGAAAAUCAAGUUAAACCCCUAAUCUUUUGAAUAUUUAAAUUACACUUCCAAAUAAAACUACACUUAAAACCAUAUGAAAUUAUCUUCAUUCCACCAUUGAAAAUUGACAAAAAAAAAAAAGAAAUUUCUUUUUUCGACCAAAGUCGGGAAAAAUGAAGAAAUUACGCUUACGUCCUAUUGUUCGAUUUGAUCGCUUGUACUUUUGUUUCAACAUUAAACAACCAAAAGGUUGUUCUAAUAACUAAAUUAAAGUGUAUUUUGAGUUCAAUUGACUUUUUGUGAACGAAUUACGACGAUUCGUCUUUUCGGCCUGAUUUUUAGCUGCACAAAAAACUGUUUCCGAUCAGAUUUUUUUCGAUGUCAUAAUAAUCGUAUCGAAAUUCUGGUUCGUUUCAUAUAAUUGUUUUUAGAUAUCUUGAUUUCGGAGCACUCCCUCCAAUCCAUUCGGUUACUCAUAAUUGUACCGAAAAUCAAGUUAAACCCCUAAUCUUUUGAAUAUUUAAAUUACACUUCCAAAUAAAACUACACUUAAAAGCAUAUGAAAUUAUCUUCAUUCCACCAUUGAAAAUUGACAAAAAAAAAAAAGAAAUUUCUUUUUUCGACCAAAGUCGGGAAAAAUGAAGAAAUUACGCUUACGUCCUAUUGUUCGAUUUGAUCGCUUGUACUUUUGUUUCAACAUUAAACAACCAAAAGGUUGUUCUAAUAACUAAAUUAAAGUGUAUUUUGAGUUCAAUUGACUUUUUGUGAACGAAUUACGACGAUUCGUCUUUUCGGCCUGAUUUUUAGCUGCACAAAAAACUGUUUCCGAUCAGAUUUUUUUCGAUGUCAUAAUAAUCGUAUCGAAAUUCUGGUUCGUUUCAUAUAAUUGUUUUUAGAUAUCUUGAUUUCGGAGCACUCCCUCCAAUCCAUUCGGUUACUCAUAAUUGUACCGAAAAUCAAGUUAAACCCCUAAUCUUUUGAAUAUUUCAAUUACACUUCCAAAUAAAACUACACUUAAAAGCAUAUGAAAUUAUCUUCAUUCCACCAUUGAAAAUUGACAAAAAAAAAAAAAGAAAUUUCUUUUUUCGACCAAAGUCGGGAAAAAUGAAGAAAUUACGCUUACGUCCUAUUGUUCGAUUUGAUCGCUUGUACUUUUGUUUCAACAUUAAACAACCAAAAGGUUGUUCUAAUAACUAAAUUAAAGUGUAUUUUGAGUUCAAUUGACUUUUUGUGAACGAAUUACGACGAUUCGUCUUUUCGGCCUGAUUUUUAGCUGCACAAAAAACUGUUUCCGAUCAGAUUUUUUUCGAUGUCAUAAUAAUCGUAUCGAAAUUCUGGUUCGUUUCAUAUAAUUGUUUUUAGAUAUCUUGAUUUCGGAGCACUCCCUCCAAUCCAUUCGGUUACUCAUAAUUGUACCGAAAAUCAAGUUAAACCCCUAAUCUUUUGAAUAUUUAAUUACACUUCCAAAUAAAACUACACUUAAAAGCAUAUGAAAUUAUCUUCAUUCCACCAUUGAAAAUUGACAAAAAAAAAAAAGAAAUUUCUUUUUUCGACCAAAGUCGGGAAAAAUGAAGAAAUUACGCUUACGUCCUAUUGUUCGAUUUGAUCGCUUGUACUUUUGUUUCAACAUUAAACAACCAAAAGGUUGUUCUAAUAACUAAAUUAAAGUGUAUUUUGAGUUCAAUUGACUUUUUGUGAACGAAUUACGACGAUUCGUCUUUUCGGCCUGAUUUUUAGCUGCACAAAAAACUGUUUCCGAUCAGAUUUUUUUCGAUGUCAUAAUAAUCGUAUCGAAAUUCUGGUUCGUUUCAUAUAAUUGUUUUUAGAUAUCUUGAUUUCGGAGCACUCCCUCCAAUCCAUUCGGUUACUCAUAAUUGUACCGAAAAUCAAGUUAAACCCCUAAUCUUUUGAAUAUUUAAUUACACUUCCAAAUAAAACUACACUUAAAAGCAUAUGAAAUUAUCUUCAUUCCACCAUUGAAAAUUGACAAAAAAAAAAAAGAAAUUUCUUUUUUCGACCAAAGUCGGGAAAAAUGAAGAAAUUACGCUUACGUCCUAUUGUUCGAUUUGAUCGCUUGUACUUUUGUUUCAACAUUAAACAACCAAAAGGUUGUUCUAAUAACUAAAUUAAAGUGUAUUUUGAGUUCAAUUGACUUUUUGUGAACGAAUUACGACGAUUCGUCUUUUCGGCCUGAUUUUUAGCUGCACAAAAAACUGUUUCCGAUCAGAUUUUUUUCGAUGUCAUAAUAAUCGUAUCGAAAUUCUGGUUCGUUUCAUAUAAUUGUUUUUAGAUAUCUUGAUUUCGGAGCACUCCCUCCAAUCCAUUCGGUUACUCAUAAUUGUACCGAAAAUCAAGUUAAACCCCUAAUCUUUUGAAUAUUUAAAUUACACUUCCAAAUAAAACUACACUUAAAAGCAUAUGAAAUUAUCUUCAUUCCACCAUUGAAAAUUGACAAAAAAAAAAAAGAAAUUUCUUUUUUCGACCAAAGUCGGGAAAAAUGAAGAAAUUACGCUUACGUCCUAUUGUUCGAUUUGAUCGCUUGUACUUUUGUUUCAACAUUAAACAACCAAAAGGUUGUUCUAAUAACUAAAUUAAAGUGUAUUUUGAGUUCAAUUGACUUUUUGUGAACGAAUUACGACGAUUCGUCUUUUCGGCCUGAUUUUUAGCUGCACAAAAAACUGUUUCCGAUCAGAUUUUUUUCGAUGUCAUAAUAAUCGUAUCGAAAUUCUGGUUCGUUUCAUAUAAUUGUUUUUAGAUAUCUUGAUUUCGGAGCACUCCCUCCAAUCCAUUCGGUUACUCAUAAUUGUACCGAAAAUCAAGUUAAACCCCUAAUCUUUUGAAUAUUUCAAUUACACUUCCAAAUAAAACUACACUUAAAAGCAUAUGAAAUUAUCUUCAUUCCACCAUUGAAAAUUGACAAAAAAAAAAAAAGAAAUUUCUUUUUUCGACCAAAGUCGGGAAAAAUGAAGAAAUUACGCUUACGUCCUAUUGUUCGAUUUGAUCGCUUGUACUUUUGUUUCAACAUUAAACAACCAAAAGGUUGUUCUAAUAACUAAAUUAAAGUGUAUUUUGAGUUCAAUUGACUUUUUGUGAACGAAUUACGACGAUUCGUCUUUUCGGCCUGAUUUUUAGCUGCACAAAAAACUGUUUCCGAUCAGAUUUUUUUCGAUGUCAUAAUAAUCGUAUCGAAAUUCUGGUUCGUUUCAUAUAAUUGUUUUUAGAUAUCUUGAUUUCGGAGCACUCCCUCCAAUCCAUUCGGUUACUCAUAAUUGUACCGAAAAUCAAGUUAAACCCCUAAUCUUUUGAAUAUUUAAAUUACACUUCCAAAUAAAACUACACUUAAAAGCAUAUGAAAUUAUCUUCAUUCCACCAUUGAAAAUUGACAAAAAAAAAAAAAGAAAUUUCUUUUUUCGACCAAAGUCGAGAAAAAUGAAGAAAUUACGCUUACGUCUUAUUGUUCGAUUUGAUCGCUUGUACUUUUGUUUCAACAUUAAACAACCAAAAGGUUGUUCUAAUAACUAAAUUAAAGUGUAUUUUGAGUUCAAUUGACUUUUUGUGAACGAAUUACGACGAUUCGUGUUUUCGGCCUGAUUUUUAGCUGCACAAAAAACUGUUUCCGAUCAGAUUUUUUUCGAUGUCAUAAUAAUCGUAUCGAAAUUCUGGUUCGUUUCAUAGAAUUGUUUUUAGAUAUCUUGAUUUCGGAGCACUCCCUCCAAUCCAUUCGGUUACUCAUAAUUGUACCGAAAAUCAAGUUAAACCCCUAAUCUUUUGAAUAUUUAAAUUACACUUCCAAAUAAAACUACACUUAAAAGCAUAUGAAAUUAUCUUCAUUCCACCAUUGAAAAUUGACAAAAAAAAAAAAGAAAUUUCUUUUUUCGACCAAAGUCGGGAAAAAUGAAGAAAUUACGCUUACGUCCUAUUGUUCGAUUUGAUCGCUUGUACUUUUGUUUCAACAUUAAACAACCAAAAGGUUGUUCUAAUAACUAAAUUAAAGUGUAUUUUGAGUUCAAUUGACUUUUUGUGAACGAAUUACGACGAUUCGUCUUUUCGGCCUGAUUUUUAGCUGCACAAAAAACUGUUUCCGAUCAGAUUUUUUUCGAUGUCAUAAUAAUCGUAUCGAAAUUCUGGUUCGUUUCAUAUAAUUGUUUUUAGAUAUCUUGAUUUCGGAGCACUCCCUCCAAUCCAUUCGGUUACUCAUAAUUGUACCGAAAAUCAAGUUAAACCCCUAAUCUUUUGAAUAUUUAAUUACACUUCCAAAUAAAACUACACUUAAAAGCAUAUGAAAUUAUCUUCAUUCCACCAUUGAAAAUUGACAAAAAAAAAAAAAGAAAUUUCUUUUUUCGACCAAAGUCGGGAAAAAUGAAGAAAUUACGCUUACGUCUUAUUAUUCGAUUUGAUCGCUUGUACUUUUGUUUCAACAUUAAACAACCAAAAGGUUGUUCUAAUAACUAAAUUAAAGUGUAUUUUGAGUUCAAUUGACUUUUUGUUAACGAAUUACGACGAUUCGUCUUUUCGGCCUGAUUUUUAGCUGCACAAAAAACUGUUUCCGAUCAGAUUUUUUUCGAUGUCAUAAUAAUCGUAUCGAAAUUAUGGUUCGCUUCAUAUAAUUGUUUUUAGAUAUCUUGAUUUCGGAGCACUCCCUCCAAUCCAUUCGGUUACUCAUAAUUGUACCGAAAAUCAAGUUAAACCCCUAAUCUUUUGAAUAUUUAAUUACACUUCCAAAUAAAACUACACUUAAAAGCAUAUGAAAUUAUCUUCAUUCCACCAUUGAAAAUUGACAAAAAAAAAAAAAGAAAUUUCUUUUUUCGACCAAAGUCGAGAAAAAUGAAGAAAUUACGCUUACGUCUUAUUGUUCGAUUUGAUCGCUUGUACUUUUGUUUCAAAAUUAAACAAUCAAAAGGUUGUUCUAAUAACUAAAUUAAAGUGUAUUUUGAGUUCAAUUGACUUUUUGUGAACGAAUUUCGACGAUUCGUGUUUUCGGCCUGAUUUUUAGCUGCACAAAAAACUGUUUCCGAUCAGAUUUUUUUCGAUGUCAUAAUAAUCGUAUCGAAAUUCUGGUUCGUUUCAUAGAAUUGUUUUUAGAUAUCUUGAUUUCGGAGCACUCCCUCCAAUCCAUUCGGUUACUCAUAAUUGUACCGAAAAUCAAGUUAAACCCCUAAUCUUUUGAAUAUUUAAAUUACACUUCCAAAUAAAACUACACUUAAAACCAUAUGAAAUUAUCUUCAUUCCACCAUUGAAAAUUGACAAAAAAAAAAAAGAAAUUUU